rnacentral:rRNA from 1 species
CCUAUGGGUGGCAGCAGUGAGGAAUAUUGGUCAAUGGACGCAAGUCUGAACCAGCCAUGCCGCGUGCAGGAAGACGGCUCUAUGAGUUGUAAACUGCUUUUGUACGAGGGAAAACGCAGAGACGUGUAUCUGUCUGAAAGUAUCGUACGAAUAAGAAUCGGCUAACUCCGUGCCAGCAGCCGCGGUAAUACGGAGGAUUCAAGCGUUAUCCGGAUUUAUUGGGGUUAAAGGGUGCGUAGGCGGUCGGAGAAGUUAGAGGUGAAAUCCCGAGGCUUAACUUCGGAAUUGCCUUUGAUACUGUUCGGCUAGAGAGUAGUUGAGGUAGGCGGAAUGUCUGGUGUAGCGGUGAAAUGCGUAGAGAUCAUACAGAACACCGAUUGCGAAGGCAGCUUACCAGGCUACAUCUGACGUUGAGGCACGAAAGCGUGGGGAGCAAACAGGAUUAGAUACCCGGGUAGUC